UACGUAGGUGGCAAGCGUUGUCCGGAAUUACUGGGUGUAAAGGGAGCGCAGGCGGGUGAUCAAGUCAGCUGUGAAAACUAUGGGCUUAACCCGUAGACUGCAGUUGAAACUGUUCAUCUUGAGUGAAGUAGAGGUUGGCGGAAUUCCGAGUGUAGCGGUGAAAUGCGUAGAUAUUCGGAGGAACACCGGUGGCGAAGGCGGCCAACUGGGCUUUAACUGACGCUGAGGCUCGAAAGUGUGGGGAGCAAACAGG
rnacentral:rRNA from 1 species